rnacentral:rRNA from 1 species
CCCGAAAGAUCGAACGGGGAGAUUCAUCGUCAGCGACGUCGGCUUCGUCGCGACUCGUGAUGUCGGGGACCUUCGGGUUCGCGGUACACGGUCGCGUCGCGUUAUGCCCGGCUUCGUCGGCGUGCACUUCUCCCCCAGUAGGACGUCGCGACCCGUUGGGCGUCGGCAUAAGGCCCGACUGAUAGCCUGUCUCGGCGUUCGCGUCGGGGCAGAUCGUCGGUCGCCCGGCCGGCUGCCCGGCGGUACUCACACGGUAUAGAGCCGCAUUGAACUUGCGCCCAGCCCGUCGCAAGCUCGGUCAGCGAUUCCCGGUGGUCGGACCUAGCGCCGUCCCCGGGCCUGAUCAGCUGUUGGCAGACGGUGACCUCGGGCGGGCUCUCCCCGUAAAUACCGGUCGGCGACGCUAUCGCUUUGGGUACUUUCA